rfam:Ictidomys tridecemlineatus contig037565, whole genome shotgun sequence.
GUGCUCACUUUGGCAACACUAUAUACUAAAAUUGGAACGAUACAGAGAAGAUUAACAUGGCCCCUGCACAAAUAUAACAUGCAAAUUUGUGAAGUGUUCCAUAUUUUU